rnacentral:rRNA from 1 species
UACGGGGGGGGCAAGCGUUGUUCGGAAUUACUGGGCGUAAAGGGCUCGUAGGCGGCCAACUAAGUCGGACGUGAAAUCCCUCGGCUUAACCGGGGAACUGCGUCCGAUACUGGAUGGCUUGAGUUCGGGAGAGGGAUGCGGAAUUCCAGGUGUAGCGGUGAAAUGCGUAGAUAUCUGGGGGAACACCGGUGGCGAAGGCGGCAUCCUGGACCGACACUGACGCUGAGGAGCGAAAGCCAGGGGAGCAAACGGG